CCCUUAGAUGUUCUGGGCCGCACGCGCGCUACACUGAUGCAUUCAACGAGUUUCUUCCUGGUCCGAGAGGAAUGGGUAACCUUUUGAAAGUGCAUCGUGAUAGGGAUAGACUAUUGCAAUUAUUGGUCUUCAACGAGGAAUUCCUAGUAGACGUAGUUCAUCAGACUGCAUCGAUUACGUCCCUGCCCUUUGUACACACCGCCCGUCGCACCUACCGAUUGAACGUUCCGGUGAGACCUUGGGAUUUGGUCUUUGAUACUUUAUUGUGUCGUUGACCGAAAAACUUGAGCAAACCUUAACGUUUAGAGGAAGGUGAAGUCGUAACA
rnacentral:rRNA from 1 species